UGCCCUGAUAGCUCAAUUGGAUAGAGCAGAUCCGUCCUAAGGAUAAGGUUAGAGGUUCAAUUCCUCUUCAGGGUGA
rnacentral:tRNA from 1 species